rnacentral:rRNA from 1 species
GACGGGGACCCGCACAAGCGGUGGAUGAUGUGGAUUAAUCGAUGCAACGCGAAGAACCUUACUACCCUUGACAUGUCCGGAACUUGCCAGAGAUGGCUUGGUGCCGAAAGGGAAUCGGAACACAGGUGCUGCAUGGCUGUCGUCAGCUCGUGUCGUGAGAUGUUGGGUUAAGUCCCGCAACGAGCGCAACCCUUAUCAUUAGUUGCUACGCAAGGGCACUCUAAUGAGACUGCCGGUGACAAACCGGAGGAAGGUGGGGAUGACGUCAAGUCCUCAUGGCCCUUAUGGGUAGGGCUUCACACGUCAUACAAUGGUCGGUACAGAGGGUUGCCAAGCCGCGAGGCGGAGCCAAUCCCACAAAGCCGAUCGUAGUCCGGAUUGUUCUCUGCAACUCGAGAGCAUGAAGUCGGAAUCGCUAGUAAUCGCAGGUCAGCAUACUGCGGUGAAUACGUUCCCGGGUCUU